CCUACGGGGGGCAGCAGUAAGGAAUAUUGGUCAAUGGAGGAAACUCUGACCCAGCCAUCCCGCGUGAAGGAUGAAGGGGCUCUGCCUUGUAAACUUCUUUUGUCUGGGGCGAAAAAGCUCGAUUUAUCGAGAACUGACGGUACCCGACGAAUAAGCACCGGCUAACUCCGUGCCAGCAGCCGCGGUAAUACGGAGGGUGCAGGCGUUAUCCGGAAUCACUGGGUUUAAGGGGUGCGUAGACGUCAGAGGUGAAAGGCUGUGGCUGAACCAUGGAAUUGCCAUUGAUACUGCAGAGCUUGAAUGAGGUUGAGGGUGGCGGAAUGUGACAUGUAGCGGUGAAAUGCUUAGAUAUGUCAUGGAACACCGAUUGCGAAGGCAGCUGACUGGACCGAUAUUGACGCUGAGGCACGAAAGCGUGGGGAGCGAACAGGAUUAGAUACCCGGGUAGUC
rnacentral:rRNA from 1 species